rnacentral:rRNA from 1 species
AUUGAACGCUGGCGGCAGGCCUAACACAUGCAAGUCGAGCGAGCGGCGGACGGGUGAGUAAUGUCUGGGGAUCUGCCCGAUAGAGGGGGAUAACUACUGGAAACGGUGGCUAAUACCGCAUACUAUCGGAUGACCCCAUAUGGGAUUAGCUAGUCGGUGGGGUAACGGCUCACCUAGGCGACGAUCUCUAGCUGGUCUGAGAGGAUGAUCAGCCACACUGGGACUGAGACACGGCCCAGACUCCUACGUGAGGCAGCAGUGGGGAAUAUUGCACAAUGGGCGCAAGCCUGAUGCAGCCAUGCCGCGUGUAUGAAGAAGGCCUUAGGGUUGUAAAGUACUUUCAGCGGGGAGGCGUUACUCGCAGAAGAAGCACCGGCUAACUCCGUGCCAGCAGCCGCGGUAAUAC